rnacentral:tRNA from 1 species
GUAGAUAUGGUGUUAGCGGUAGCAUAUGACAUUGCCAAUGUCAAGGGGUCAGUUCAAGUCUGAUUAUCUACUCA